rnacentral:rRNA from 1 species
GAUGAACGCUGACAGCAUGCUUAACACAUGCAAGUCAACUGGUGGCGGACGGGUGAGUAACGGGUAUAUAACUUGCCCCACAGGUAGGGACAACAUUUGGAAACGAAUCCUUAUACAUAAUACUGUGAGAGAGCUGUGCGUACCAUUAGCUAGUUGGAGAGGUAACGUCGCACCUAUGCGAUGAUGGGUAGCCGGCCUGAGAGGGUGAUCGGCCACAAGGGGACACAGAAGCGGCCCUUACUGCUACGGGCGGAAGCAGUGCGGAAUAUUGGACAAUGGACCAAAGUCUGAUCCAGCAAUUCUGUGUGUACAAUGAAGUUUUCGGAAUGUAAAGUGCUUUCAGUUGAGAAGCGGUACCAACAGAAGAAGUGACGGCUAAAUACGUGCCAGCAGCCGCGGUAAUUC